rnacentral:rRNA from 1 species
UACGGGGGGGGCAAGCGUUGUUCGGAAUUACUGGGCGUAAAGGGUCUGUAGGUGGCCAACUAAGUCAAACGUGAAAUCCCUCAGCUUAACUGGGGAACUGCGUCUGAUACUGGAUGGCUCGAGUGUGGGAGAGGAAUGCGGAAUUCCAGGUGUAGCGGUGAAAUGCGUAGAUAUCUGGAGGAACACCGGUGGCGAAGGCGGCAUUCUGGACCACAACUGACACUGAGAGACGAAAGCCAGGGGAGCAAACGGG